rnacentral:lncRNA from 1 species
GAGAAGAAACACGUUAGAAUUUGAUUAUGCAUUAAAUGAGAUCCAAGAGAACGGGACCAGACCCCAUAAUGCACCAGUCGAGAUAUUAGAUAUAUAUCAGAAAAAACGAGUAUUAAUCUCCGCUCCGGUGACCACUAAGUCACUGAGCGCGCCCUCCAGCCAUCGCCUCUCUGUUAUUCCGUACAUGAGAGAUUCCCCUGUGGUCAUUCUUUUUCAUGCUUAAAUAUGCCAGUUCUCUCCUCUAUUUUACCAACAGGCAACAAUGGCAAAUACCAUCGGACGAUUUCUCCUUUGUCUUUCUCUUGCAGCAUUACUGGUAGUUUCCACUGGUUCCGCCACUCAGAAUCAGAAAACAGCCCUGUUUGUCGGUAAAGCAGAGUGCCCCGAUUGCGGCAGUCACAAUUUAAAUGGUAAGUAGCUAGAAUAUAUAAUAUGAUAUGAUAACAUAAGUCUAAUAUUGAAUGUGAUUUCAGGAAUUCGCGUACGAGUGAUGUGCAGAUCCAGAACCUCACACAGACUUUACCGUUCGAGAGUGCAUGGAAACAGGGAGCUCGAUCUGAACGGAAAGUUCACUCUUCAACUUCCGGCAACACUUCUGAAUAAAGAUGGUACUGGUCUCAUACGUAAAUGCUACGCCCAGCUCUACUCGACGUCGAAGAAAGCACAAUGUCC